rnacentral:rRNA from 1 species
AAUGGGUCAGCGACUUAUAUUCUGUAGCAAGGUUAACCGAAUAGGGGAGCCGAAGGGAAACCGAGUCUUAACUGGGCGUUAAGUUGCAGGGUAUAGACCCGAAACCCGGUGAUCUAGCCAUGGGCAGGUUGAAGGUUGGGUAACACUAACUGGAGGACCGAACCGACUAAUGUUGAAAAAUUAGCGGAUGACUUGUGGCUGGGGGUGAAAGGCCAAUCAAACCGGGAGAUAGCUGGUUCUCCCCGAAAGCUAUUUAGGUAGCGCCUCGUGAAUUCAUCUCCGGGGGUAGAGCACUGUUUCGGCAAGGGGGUCAUCCCGACUUACCAACCCGAUGCAAACUGCGAAUACCGGAGAAUGUUAUCACGGGAGACACACGGCGGGUGCUAACGUCCGUCGUGAAGAGGGAAACAACCCAGACCGCCAGCUAAGGUCCCAAAGUCAUGGUUAAGUGGGAAACGAUGUGGGAAGGCCCAGACAGCCAGGAUGUUGGCUUAGAAGCAGCCAUCAUUUAAAGAAAGCGUAAUAGCUCACUGGUCGAGUCGGCCUGCGCGGAAGAUGUAACGGGGCUAAACCAUGCACCGAAGCUGCGGCAGCGACGCUUAUGCGUUGUUGGGUAGGGGAGCGUUCUGUAAGCCUGUGAAGGUGGCCUGUGAGGGUUGCUGGAGGUAUCAGAAGUGCGAAUGCUGACAUAAGUAACGAUAAAGCGGGUGAAAAGCCCGCUCGCCGGAAGACCAAGGGUUCCUGUCCAACGUUAAUCGGGGCAGGGUGAGUCGACCCCUAAGGCGAGGCCGAAAGGCGUAGUCGAUGGGAAACAGGUUAAUAUUCCUGUACUUGGUGUUACUGCGAAGGGGGGACGGAGAAGGCUAUGUUGGCCGGGCGACGGUUGUCCCGGUUUAAGCGUGUAGGCUGAUUUUCCAGGCAAAUCCGGAAAAUCAAGGC